AGCUUACAUGACUAAGGGAGCAACAAUCUAUUGGAGUCUUUGAUUUUAUUUAUAAUUUAAGGAGGUGCUCACUAUGGCAGCAGAUAUCAUUAGCACAAUCGUUGAAUUUGUUAAACUUAUCGCAGAAACAGUAGAAAAAUUUAUCAAAAAAUAAGAUUUGAUAAAAGUAUUUGUUAGAAUCUUUUUCCUUACUUAGACUAAAGUAAAAUCAGGUUUCGAUAUUGAAGCCAUUGUAGCAAUAUUUAAUAAUCGGUAAAUUCACUAAAUUUUUUCAUAAUUAAUAACAUCCCCAAUUAAAUAGAAUAACUGUAAAUAAAACAUUCCCUUAAUAUGAAGAACAGGCGAGUCCCUCCCAAGCUCGUCUGUUC
rnacentral:ncRNA from 25 species